AAGCUGUCUGUCUUUUCCAUCUGGACUGCAGACUGAGCUGAAGACACGGGCAUGUUUCAGGGCAGGAAACAUGCUGGACUUCAGAGGCCAGCAUGCAUAGAGCAUCUAGCCAUCCUUGCAAAAACUCAGCACAUGUCACACUGGGGGGCAGAACAGCGGGUGCACUGUCUGGAGGUCUCCUCCUGGAUUGCUGGUUGCCUAGCAACAAGAU
ensembl:misc_RNA